rnacentral:lncRNA from 1 species
GCCGGCAACCAGAGGCGGGGCCGAGGCAACAGCCGGGGCGCUGUCCGCAGUGGGGAUGGCGACGCGGACCACGGCUGCCCCUCUGCCCACCUCAGUGGGCCUGUGCAUCUGGGCUGCCUCGCCUGCAGGUUUCCGCUCAGUUCAGGGGAGGCGGGUGCGGGAGGGAGCAGAGCCCGUCAGACCCCACAGGGACACGUUACAGGCACAUUGCCACUGAUGCCCUCAAAAUACGCCUUCCUUCAAGCACACUCAUCCCAUCACCUUGCCCCUGUCUGGAGCAGCUCUGGAGCCCUCCUUUGCAAGUCUCUGCGGCUGCCUCCUGUUUUGAAUCAAUGGAAAACACAGCAGUUUCUGUCGAGUAUAAAUGUUGCAGUGAGUCCUCGUCACCUUGUUCACCGGAUCUGGCACCACGUGACUCUCAGUCCUCCCCAGAGCCAAAAUGAUCACGAAAGGGAAACGUUUUAAAUCGACUCAGGCCAUCCAGGCAGCCAGGACAGCACAACUACGGGCAAUUACAGACGAGGCCUCCAGAGCUGCUGCAGACAGUGCCAAGUGAGACGCCUGCUGCUACCACACACGCCUGCACCAUCAACAUACAAAGAGAAACGGCUUACUGCACCUCAGUCUCAAAGGCUGUGUUCAGGACUGGGUGGCCCUGCAGCCAUGGGGCCCGGGACAAGGCACCAGGACAUCAAAACUGCUCACCUCACAGUGGCCAGGAAGCAACGGAGAGGAGACGGCCAGCGUCUCACGGUCCCUUUCAGGAGCGCCCCUUGAUCAACACAAGCUCUCCAGGCACCACCUCAAAGGUUUUAGCACUUGCAGCAGUGCCACACUGAGUCCAUCCUCUAAUCUCGGGUCUCAGGGGACAUUCCAGAUCCAAACUGUCCAUCUGCCACCUGCUCCUGCAGGGACCCUUGCCAGCCAGGCCUGGCCUCACCGAGAGCUCUGCUCCUGGCCCCUGAGGGCUCCAUGGCCUCAGCAGGGACCAGGCUGCUCCUGCCCCCGAGGCUCAGCUGCCUGUCCUCGCUUGCAAGCUCAGGACAGUGUGCUGAAGGCCCCGGUGUCACUCCUGAGCUGGGCCCCCACUCACUGGGCAUCUACUGAAGAAAACUCAGCCCCUCCCACAUCAACCUCCUGAGGAAGGCGACUUCCACGCGCAGAUGCCGCCAACGGCAGUGCUUGCCUGCGGUGUCUCUGUGUGGAGGCCUUGGCUACCUCUUCCAACAGCUCUGAGGGCAGGCGGCACGGAUUCCAUGCUUGCUGAGGGUGACAUGCUAGGACUGGAAUGCGCCCACCUGCCUCCUGACCCUGACCUCUGCUGCUCUACUCUGUCCAGAUGAUUCAGAGGAGCGAAAUGUCCGGCACCUCCAGGGAAAUUUGCCUUUUUUUUCUUUUUAUAAAAUUCAG